rnacentral:rRNA from 1 species
GAUGAACGCUAGCGGCAGGCCUAAUACAUGCAAGUCGGACGGGAUUCAGGAGCUUGCUUCUGAUGAGAGUGGCGCACGGGUGCGUAACACGUAUGUAACCUACCUUUAUCAGGGGGAUAGCCUCUCGAAAGAGAGAUUAAGCCCGCAUAAAAUCACAGCACAGCAUUGUGUAAUGAUCAAAUAUUUAUAGGAUAAAGAUGGGCAUGCGGAACAUUAGCUAGAUGGCGGGGUAACGGCCCACCAUGGCGACGAUGUUUAGGGGAUCUGAGAGGAUGGCCCCCCACACUGGUACUGAGACACGGACCAGGCUCCUACGGGAGGCAGCAGUAAGGAAUAUUGGUCAAGGGGCGGAAGCCUGAACCAGCCAUGCCGCGUGCAGGAAGACGGCCCUACGGGUUGUAAACUGCUUUUAUACGGGAAUAAACCCAGAUACGUGUAUCUGGCUGAAUGUACUGUAAGAAUAAGGAUCGGCUAACUCCGUG